AGCGAACGUAUUUGCGGAAGUUUUCGGACGGAAGCGGAUGCGACUUAGCGGCGGACGGGUGAGUAACGCGUGGGUAACCUGCCUCAUACAGGGGGAUAACAGUUAGAAAUGACUGCUAAUACCGCAUAAGCGCACAGGACCGCAUGGUCUGGUGUGAAAAACUCCGGUGGUAUGAGAUGGACCCGCGUCUGAUUAGCUGGUUGGUGGGGUAACGGCCCACCAAGGCGACGAUCAGUAGCCGACCUGAGAGGGUGGCCGGCCACAUUGGGACUGAGACACGGCCCAAACUCCUACGGGAGGCAGCAGUGGGGAAUAUUGCACAAUGGGGGAAACCCUGAUGCAGCAACGCCGCGUGAGUGAAGAAGUAUUUCGGUAUGUAAAGCUCUAUCAGCAGGGAAGAAGAAAGACGGUACCUGACUAAGAAGCCCCGGCUAACUACGUGCCAGCAGCCGCGGUAAUACGUAGGGGGCAAGCGUUAUCUGGAUUUACUGGGUGUAAAGGGAGCGUAGACGGCAUAGCAAGUCUGAAGUGAAAGCCCGUGGCUCAACCGCGGAACUGCUUUGGAAACUGUUAAGCUGGAGUACUGGAGAGGCAAGCGGAAUUCCUAGUGUAGCGGUGAAAUGCGUAGAUAUUAGGAGGAACACCAGUGGCGAAGGCGGCUUGCUGGACAGAGACUGACGUUGAGGCUCGAAAGCGUGGGGAGCAAACAGGAUUAGAUACCCUGGUAGUCCACGCGGUAAACGAUGAAUGCUAGGUGUUGGCGGGCAAAGCCCGUCGGUGCCNGUCGCAACGCAGUAAGCAUUCCANCUGGGG
rnacentral:rRNA from 1 species